GUAGGGAAUCUUGCGCAAUGGGCGAAAGCCUGACGCAGCCAUGCCGCGUGAAUGAUGAAGGUCUUAGGAUUGUAAAAUUCUUUCACCGGGGACGAUAAUGACGGUACCCGGAGAAGAAGCCCCGGCUAACUUCGUGCCAGCAGCCGCGGUAAUACGAAGGGGGCUAGCGUUGCUCGGAAUUACUGGGCGUAAAGGGAGCGUAGGCGGACAGUUUAGUCAGAGGUGAAAGCCCAGGGCUCAACCUUGGAAUUGCCUUUGAUACUGGCUGUCUUGAGUACGGGAGAGGUGAGUGGAACUCCGAGUGUAGAGGUGAAAUUCGUAGAUAUUCGGAAGAACACCAGUGGCGAAGGCGACUCACUGGCCCGUUACUGACGCUGAGGCGCGAAAGCGUGGGGAGCAAACAGGAUUAGAUACCCGUGUAGUCC
rnacentral:rRNA from 1 species